UGAGUACGAGAUGCUACGGCAUCGAAGCAGUGUAUGUCAUACUUCCAAGAAAAGCUCGCAAUGUCAUAAACAAAUAAUGCCUGUACCAUAACCGACACAGGUGGGUAGGUAGAGUAUACUAAGGGGCGCGAGAUAACUCUCUCUAAGGAACUCGGCGAAAUGACUCCGUAACUUCGGGAGAAGGAGUGCCUUAUUUUUAUAAGGUUGCAAUAACAAGAUCCAAGCAACUGUUUACCAAAAACACAGGUCUCCGCUAAGUCGUAAGACGAUGUAUGGGGGCUGACGCCUGCCCAGUGCCAGAAGGUUAAAGAAGUUGGUUAGCAUUAGCGAAGCUGAUAACUGAAGCCCUGGUGAACGGCGGCCGUAACUAUAACGGUCCUAAGGUAGCGAAAUUCCUUGUCGGGUAAGUUCCGACCCGCACGAAAGGCGUAAUGAUUUGGAUACUGUCUCGGAGAGGGGCUCGGUGAAAUAGACUUGUCUGUGAAGAUGCGGACUACCUGCACCUGGACAGAAAGACCCUAUGAAGCUUUACUGUAACUUGAGAUUGAAAUUGGACUUUAUCUGCGCAGUAUAGGUGGUAGACGUUGAUAAUAUUCUUGCGGGAAAAUUGGAGUCAUCAGUGAGAUACCACUCUUAUAAUGUUAGAUUUCUAACUUUGUAUCAUUAUCUGGUCAAAGAACAGUUUCAGGCGGGCAGUUUGACUGGGGCGGUCGCCUCCCAAACGGUAACGGAGGCGCACAAAGGUUUCCUCUGAACGUGUAGAAAUCGUAUCUAGAGUGUAAAGGCAUAAGGAAGCUUGACUGUGAGACCUACAAGUCGAGCAGGGACGAAAGUCGGUCUUAGUGAUCUGACGGUGCUGAGUGGAAAGGCCGUCACUCAACGGAUAAAAGUUACUCUAGGAUAACAGGCUGACCUCCCCCAAGAGUUCACAUCGACGGGGAGGUUUGGCACCUUGAUGUCGGCUCAUCGCAUCCUGGGGCGGUAGUACGUCCCAAGGGUUGGGCUGUUCGCCCAUGAAAGCGGUACGCGAGCUGGGUUCAGAACGUCGUGAGACAGUUCGGUCCAUAUCCGGUGUAGGCGUUAGAAUAUUGAGAGGAGCCUUCUUUAGUACGAGAGGACCGAGAAGGACAUACCUCUGGUGUACCAGUUAUCGUGCCAACGGUAAACGCUGGGUAGCUAUGUAUGGAGAGGAUAACCGCUGAAAGCAUCUAAGUGGGAAGCCCACCUCAAGAUAAG
rnacentral:rRNA from 1 species